rnacentral:misc_RNA from 1 species
AUGCGAUAAGUAAUGUGAAUUGCAGAAUUCCGUGAAUCAUCGAAUCUUUGAACGCACAUUGCGCCCUCUGGCAUUCCGGAGGGCAUGCCUGUCCGAGCGUCAUUUCUGCCCUCCAGCCCGGCUGGGUGUUGGGCGCUGUUCCCCCGGGAACACGCCCCAAAGGCAGUGGCGGCGCCGCGUCGGGUCCUCGAGCGUAUGGGGCUCUGUCACCCGCUCGGGAGGGACUCGCGGGCGCUGGUCUUCCAUGUCCGGGCGGUCCUUCGGGGCUGUCCUCCUUCCGGUUGACCUCGGAUCAGGUAGGGUUACCCGCUGAACUUAA